UAGAGUUUGAUUCAUGGCUCAGGACGAACGCUGGCGGCGUGCCUAAUACAUGCAAGUCGAGCGGACAGAUGGGAGCUUGCUCCCUGAUGUUAGCGGCGGACGGGUGAGUAACACGUGGGUAACCUGCCUGUAAGACUGGGAUAACUCCGGGAAACCGGGGCUAAUACCGGAUGGUUGUUUGAACCGCAUGGUUCAAACAUAAAAGGUGGCUUCGGCUACCACUUACAGAUGGACCCGCGGCGCAUUAGCUAGUUGGUGAGGUAAUGGCUCACCAAGGCAACGAUGCGUAGCCGACCUGAGAGGGUGAUCGGCCACACUGGGACUGAGACACGGCCCAGACUCCUACGGGAGGCAGCAGUAGGGAAUCUUCCGCAAUGGACGAAAGUCUGACGGAGCAACGCCGCGUGAGUGAUGAAGGUUUUCGGAUCGUAAAGCUCUGUUGUUAGGGAAGAACAAGUACCGUUCGAAUAGGGCGGUACCUUGACGGUACCUAACCAGAAAGCCACGGCUAACUACGUGCCAGCAGCCGCGGUAAUACGUAGGUGGCAAGCGUUGUCCGGAAUUAUUGGGCGUAAAGGGCUCGCAGGCGGUUUCUUAAGUCUGAUGUGAAAGCCCCCGGCUCAACCGGGGAGGGUCAUUGGAAACUGGGGAACUUGAGUGCAGAAGAGGAGAGUGGAAUUCCACGUGUAGCGGUGAAAUGCGUAGAGAUGUGGAGGAACACCAGUGGCGAAGGCGACUCUCUGGUCUGUAACUGACGCUGAGGAGCGAAAGCG
rnacentral:rRNA from 1 species